rnacentral:sRNA from 1 species
GAAGAGAAUCGGGUAGCGGGCGAAGAAGCGGCGAGGACGUCUGGCAGAGCGGCAGCCCGAGCGGUGAUGGAGCCAGGCGGAGCAGCGGCGGCCCGAGCAGCAAUGGAGCCAGGCGGAGCAGCGGCAACGACGCUAGGCGGAGCAGCGGCGACAGCGCCGAGUGGAGCAGGAGCAGGGCGGCCAAAUCCAGCCUAGGCUCACUGGAUCUGGCAGCGGGCGACGGCGGCUCGCCGGAUCUCCUUCUCCUCAGCUCGCCAGCGCCAAAUCCCUCUCCCCUCUCCUCGUCGGCGUCUACUGUUUUGUGCAACGACGACGAGCAUUGGCCCUUGUCUCCUCCUCCGUCCGGCGGCCCUCCUCCCCUGGUCGUCGCCUCACAUGGGAGUAGACGAAUCCCUAGCAAUUCCCUAAUAAAUCUGAUGAUGAACGAGUGUCACAUUUAGACUCCGCGUUCUUCAUUGGUCAUGGUAGCGUCCGAUAUAGAGGGGAAUCUUGGUUGGGGCUGGGUGAGGCUGAAUGCCAGCUAUGCGCAUUGUGAACGCCCUCAGGCUGUCACCUCUACUAGACUACUACUACUCACAACAGGCCUGUUUCUUAUUGCCACUGUGGAUG